rnacentral:rRNA from 1 species
UACGAAGGGGGGCUAGCGUUGCUCGGAAUCACUGGGCGUAAAGCGCACGUAGGCGGCUUUUAUAGUGGGGUGAAAUCCUGAGCUCAACUCCAGAACUGCCUCGAUACUGAAGCUCGAGUCCGGGAGAGGUGAGUGGAACUGCGAGUGUAGAGGUGAAAUUCGUAGAUAUUCGCAAGAACACCAGUGGCGAAGGCGGCUCACUGGCC